GACGAACGCUGGCGGCGUGCCUAACACAUGCAAGUUGAGCGACGAACCAGGGCUUGCCCUGGGGCAAAGCAGCGAACGGGUGAGUAACACGUGGGUAACCUACCCCGAUAACCGGGACAACCCGAGGAAACUCGGGCUAAUACCGGAUGUGCUCACUGGACUUCGGUUCAGUGCGUAAAGGAAGCUUCGGCCUCCGUAUCGGGAGGGGCCCGCGGCCCAUUAGUUUGUUGGUGAGGUAACGGCUCACCAAGACCGCGAUGGGUAGCUGGUCUGAGAGGACGAUCAGCCACACUGGGACUGAGACACGGCCCAGACUCCUACGGGAGGCAGCAGUGGGGAAUCUUGCGCAAUGCGCGAAAGCGUGACGCAGCAACGCCGCGUGGGGGAAGAAGGCCUUCGGGUUGUAAACCCCUUUCAGGAGGGACGAAGGUUCGGCGGUGAAUAGCCGUCCGGACUGACGGUACCUCCACAAGAAGCCCCGGCUAACUACGU
rnacentral:rRNA from 1 species